AAGUUUGACCUCAAAUCAGGUAGGAGUACCCGCUGAACUUAAGCAUAUCAAUAAGCGGAGGAAAAGAAACCAACCGGGAUUGCCUUAGUAACGGCGAGUGAAGCGGCAAAAGCUCAAAUUUGAAAUCUGGUACCUUCGGUGCCCGAGUUGUAAUUUGGAGAGGGCAACUUUGGGGCCGUUCCUUGUCUAUGUUCCUUGGAACAGGACGUCAUAGAGGGUGAGAAUCCCGUGUGGCGAGGAGUGCGGUUCUUUGUAAAGUGCCUUCGAAGAGUCGAGUUGUUUGGGAAUGCAGCUCUAAGUGGGUGGUAAAUUCCAUCUAAAGCUAAAUAUUGGCGAGAGACCGAUAGCGAACAAGUACAGUGAUGGAAAGAUGAAAAGAACUUUGAAAAGAGAGUGAAAAAGUACGUGAAAUUGUUGAAAGGGAAGAGCAUUUGAUCAGACAUGGUGUUUUGUGCCCUCUGCUCCUUGUGGGUAGGGGAAUCUCGCAUUUCACUGGGCCAGCAUCAGUUUUGGUGGCAGGAUAAAUCCAUAGGAAUGUAGCUUGCCUCGGUAAGUAUUAUAGC
rnacentral:rRNA from 1 species